CUACAAGUGUGAUCGGGGAUUUCUAUUGGAGAAGUACUUUUAGCCUAUCUUGAUAUUCCAUACAACGCAACUAACUCACUGUUCCACCAAACAUGCAAUUGCUCAGCGCCAUCUACAGAUAUUAGAUUAGUGAUGCACUUUAAACGUUUAGUGCAGUGACAUCACAUGUUAAAACUUAGUUAAAAGUAUCUUUGGUAACCUGUGCUAACAUUUAGACCUGCAACGGAAAAGCAUCAUGCAAUAAAGGCAUUUUACUACCGGUAAAGAACCAAGUUCCUUCCUCGUCUCUUCAAUAGAGUAGUGCAGAUGUGUUCUAUCAGCCCACUCAGGGGAUGGCCUUCCACACAGCAUCACUACCAACAGUAUCUCUGCACAUGUUGGUUGUGAGACAGCAGAGCUCCACUGGAGAGAGUGUGUUAGCCUGAGUCUGAGCCUUGAGCCUACUGCAGGAGUUCUACACGCAUCCAAGUCUUGCCUUGUCCAGCCCAAUCCAGCUAUUUUCUGACCUGCCAAGCCCAGUCGAACCCAGCACAGCCCAAUC
rnacentral:lncRNA from 1 species